rnacentral:rRNA from 1 species
CCUACGGGUGGCAGCAGUGAGGAAUAUUGGUCAAUGGACGAGCGUCUGAACCAGCCAAGUAGCGUGAAGGAUGACUGCCCUAUGGGUUGUAAACUUCUUUUAUAUGGGAAUAACAUGUUCCACGUGUGGGAUUUUGUAUGUACCAUAUGAAUAAGGAUCGGCUAACUCCGUGCCAGCAGCCGCGGUAAUACGGAGGAUCCGAGCGUUAUCCGGAUUUAUUGGGUUUAAAAGGAGCGUAGGUGGAUUGUUAAGUCAGUUGUGAAAGUUUGCGGUUCAACCGUAAAAUUGCAGUUGAAACUGGCAGUCUUGAGUACAGUAGAGGUGGGCGGAAUUCGUGGUGUAGCGGUGAAAUGCUUAGAUAUCACGAAGAACUCCGAUUGCGAAGGCAGUUCACUGGACUGCAACUGACACUGAGGCUCGAAAGUGUGGGUAUCAAACAGGAUUAGAGACCCGAGUAGUC